rnacentral:rRNA from 1 species
CAAUAGCAUAUAUUAACGUUGUUGCAGUUGAAAAGCUCGUAGUUGAACUUUUGGUAGGAGCGACCUGGCCUUGGGCGCAUGCCCUUGUUUGCCGUGUGUCGUAUCUGGCCAUCCUUUUCUUCUUUUGGAAGGAAUCUUUUACUGUGAGUAAACUGGAGUGCUCAAAACAAGACGUUUGUUUGGUACAUUAAAGCAUGGAAUAAUAAGAUAGGACCUGGUUACUAUUUUGUUGGUUUGCAUAGCUAGGUAAUGAUUAACAGGGACAGUUGGGGGUAUUCGUAUUUAAUUGUCAGAGGUGAAAUUCUUGGAUUUAUGAAAGACGAACGACUGCGAAAGCAUUUACCAAGGAUGUUUUCAUUA